GGAGUGGUGAUUCAGUGGUAGAAUUCUCGCCUUCCAUGCAAGAGACCUGGGUUCGAUUCCUGGCCAGUGCA
rnacentral:tRNA from 1 species